rnacentral:misc_RNA from 1 species
AUUUGCCUUUUAUAUAUAAUUUCGCUUUUGCCGGCCCCGCCUAAGUCAAAUCAGCACAGUUGGGGCAUUUGCGUAAAUUGGAAAUUCUAUCGCGCCCCCAAUCCUAAUGGCGACGUCGAAAGAAACUUGGAGCGUCCGACACUCUCCCUCUGAAAGAAAAAUGUCUGAACGAGUCUCCGCUAUUUCCGUUUCGCUCGAUCCAAAACCUUCCCCUUAUUCUUUUUGUCUCAAAACCCUCUCAGAAUCCUUCAAGAUUUUCCCGAGAAACAAACGCAUUUUCUCUUUCAUUUUUGCCCUUCUCGCUCUUCCUCUCUCUUUCCUCAACUUCUUACUCUCUCUCUCCUCUUACCCGAUCAAGUCACAGAUUUUCCACCUCGAAUUACUCGCCUCCCGUGCCCCUACUCGCUUCGAAGCUCGCCAGGUCUGGAAAGAGUCACGCGAGGUUGCUCUCUCUCUCCUCCACAUUAAACUCCUCUAUCUAUUACCCAUUUACUUUCUCUCUCUCAUCGCUGCCAUUACAGUCGUCGUCUCCACCGAAUCCACCUACAACAGACGACCCACAAAUCUUAAAAUUAUUUUUGCAGCCAUCAGGUCCACGUGGACAAGGCCGUUGGUUACUUCAAUCUGCAUCUACGCUAUUCUAUUAUUGUACACUAGUAUACCCUACUCGUUGGCGGCUAUGAUUGGGAGCUAUAGUCCCGGACUGAGAUUUGUAAUAUGGCUUAUUGGAUUGGGUGUAGAAUUAUACCUAAUAGCUGUUUUAGGAUUGGGUCUGGUGGUUUCGAUUUUGGAGGCAAGAUUUGGGUUGGAUGCGAUUCGGAUUGGGUCGCGUUUGAUGGAAGGGAGGAGGAUUUGUGGAUGGGUUUUGUCUGGGUUAUUGACGGUGAUGACGGGGGGAAUUGGGCGGAGAAUGGAGGGUUUGGUUAUGGACAUUGAAGAUUCGGCAGAUGAAUCGAAAUGGACGGUGGUGAAGGGGUGGGAGAGGGCUGGCCUGGUUGGUCUAUAUGGGUUGGUGAUUAUUUGGGGUUUCGCCGUUACUACUGUUUUUUACUGUGAAUGUAGGAAACGACAAAACGGAAGAGUGGUGGAUGAGCACGACCACGAGAGUGUUGAUUCUUGACAUUGCUUUGCUUUUGUAAAUUGUGUAUUCAAAACCACGCAUUUUUUUUUUUUU